AUGCAUGGUCAUACCGCCUUUGCUCUGCCCAAUCCCGUCAGAUCUUGGAAGCUAAGCAGGGAAGGGCCUGGUCGGUACUAGGAUGGGAGACCGUUUGGGAACACCAGGAAGCCUAGUGAA
rnacentral:rRNA from 1 species